rnacentral:lncRNA from 1 species
ACUCAAACCAGCUGUAUUAAGGAAGGUGCAAGCUUUUGGGAUUUCUGUUUGGAUUUAGUUUAGGUUCAAAAGAGCACGCACAGAUCCUGAGUGUUGUCAAGCACCCGUGACUGGGAAACGGAGGCGUCCGAUCCGUAUUGGAGUCAAUUCGCCACUUAAUUGGGACACUGACGCUAGAGAGGAAGCAGUGCUUUGAGUUUGCCAUUCUGGCAAUGUCCAAAUGUGGAAGACUGGAUAACAGGGAAGCAGUUGAUUGAGAAUAAUGGUUCUGUUUUGGAGGUUGAUGGAAGAUGCCCUUUGGCCAGGAAAACAGCUCAUGCUUUUAGAGGAGGAUAAUUGCCAGAAGGCCUCUCUGAAUAAAAAAAAAUCCUGACCUCACAGCCUUUGCGCUUACUUGGGUUAGAAUGCCACAGUGAACAUUGCCCCUUGUCAUCACGUAGAGGUGCUCACAGGUAAAGCAACACAAGGAGCAUAUAGGAUCACCUGCUGGAUCUUGUUUUUAACACCAGGGAGGAAAAUGGUGUCUUGGGUAAUGAACAUGCCUCAAGACUGAGCUGGCCAUCUUCAGUGUCAUCCAAACCCUCAGUGGCCCCUGAAAAACCCUUUGAAAAGAUUCAGCACGUUGCCAUGGAGAACAUCCCACUGAAGGAAUGUAUAGAAGUAGCAGGUGUCAGCUGCCUACCAGUUGCUUUCAUCUCUAGAAAUCUGUGACUUGCAGUAUGACAAGAACAAAAGGUGACAAUACAAAGGACAAAGGGCAAGGAAUACAGACGGAGAAGCCGCUUAGAGUCUAGGAUGGCAGAGGUUCUCUUGAUCAUUUCAUUUUUGAGCGCUUGUAGAGCUUUGGUGUACCAGAGGUGCUUGAACAGCUUACCACACCACAGAUGAAUGGCCUUUGGAUUUCUCCUAAGAAAAUGUGGCUACCUGAAAUUCAACUCCAUUUUCUGGUCUUCAAUAUUUCUUUUGUGUUCAGUUUGCCAGCUGAGGAGAAGUGGCUAAGCAUAGCCUGUUACUGAUGCUAAAGCCCAAGUUCUGAACCUAACAACUCCAGCAACAUGAUCCUGUUUCAAGAGACAAAAAAGUGACUAAUGAAAGAAAACAAUUGAUGUGCUAUGUAGAGUUUAAAAGAAGGUAAAGAGAAUAAAUUAAAAGCAACAACUCUC